rnacentral:lncRNA from 1 species
AUUUUAUUUUAUUUUAUUUUAUUUUAUUUCAUUUCAUUUCAUUUCAUUUCAUUUCAUUUCAUUUCAUUUCAUUAUUUUGUGCACUCUUGCACGAUGCCCAGGCAGGAAGCUGGAAAAAAAAAUAAAUAUAUAUAUUCAUAUGUGCUUUGGGUUUGUUAAACAAUACAACUCAUACAGUGGAUAGCUGACAUUGGAAAAAAAUCUUACAAGACAUCUGAUAUAACCCAAUGUGAUACGAGUCCUUUUGUAAAGCUGAAAAUAUGCUGCUGAAAGCAACAAUAAUUGCUCAUCCGUUAAUUAGAGUGUAUGUUUUAUUCUGAGAUAGGUAUCAAUGCACCUUGCUGCUUGUAAGAUUGCCCAGCUCACGGGGAACAAAAGAGGUCCAAAGAAAGUCUGUCUGAAGAGAUGGUGAAUAUGUUUCAGUGCACAAAUACCGCAAAGUAGUCAUGUGUACUCAAAAGACUGGCAUCAAUACCUGGCAGUGGCUUAUGGCACAUAUGGCAGUUCAUUUUACAGCUUUUGGAUUCCCACUGUGGGCAAACUUAAGCCAUCCCUAUACUUCAAGGCAAUAAGAAAAGAAAAUCCUGCAAUCUGAUCAUUAUUUCUAUUAGCAAUGCAAGGUCGUUGCCCAUAGGAAGUUAUAAUAAACCUGCGCUUGAAUUCUGGACA